rnacentral:lncRNA from 1 species
CCGCCCCCCCUCUCCUCCUCUCCCUUCCCUCCCUCCUUCCUUCCCCGGCCCGGCCUUCAGCUCGCACUCACCCGCCUUCCUCGUCCCUGCCCAGCGCGCAGUGUGUGUGCGCGGCUCUCCCUCGCGCUGCGCUGCGCUACCCGGCGCGGCGGCCGGGCCGGACCGGGCCGGGCCGGCGGGGGCGGGCGGGUGAGCGCGUGCGGGGAAGGAGGAGGAGGAGNNNNNNNNNNNNNNNNNNNNNNNNNNNNNNNNNNNNNNNNNNNNNNNNNNNNNNNNNNNNNNNNNNNNNNNNNGCUCCUCGGGCGGGACCUGUGGCAGCGGUCGGCCGGGCGCUUCAGCGGCGGCUCCGACGACGACCUUUAUGCGAGAGACGGACAAUUUAUUUAUUGUCACUUCAAACUUCGCGUGUCGCCAGCUCUAAAAGCGCAGGUCGGGGAUGCCUCUGAGGAGACGGCUGCUAAACCGGGGGAAGCCGCUGGCAGCGGGCGCUUUCGCACUUGGUGUUGCUCCCGUUAAAACUCAGUUCCGACCCAGCGUGACAGGGAGAUUGCGUGGCUGAUGAGGGCAUCGGUUCCUGCGGCGGCGAAACGUGGCCGCCUCCUGCGCGCUGCCUGCCCGCCCCGCGGCUGGAAAGCCGCCCCUCUCCCGCCCGGACCCGCUCAUCCUAUGGCAACAGGCAUUUACAUGGCGGUGCCCUUUGGCUGAACAGUUUUUUUGUUUGUUUGUUUGUUUUUUAAGGGCUUUUCAGAUCCGUUUCCCAUUUGGAACAGAAAGGCACAGAAGUGGGUGUUUUGUUGGUGUUCUCUCUUCAGUUAGAAAAUCUAGGCAAAUUCUGCUUUCAUGGGCAGGGGUUGUAAUUAAUCUUGCAGAAGCAGCUUCCUCCCUGAAAAUUCUCAAGGAGAGAACCUCUCUGCUGCCAAAACACUUGUCUUGCUUCUUUUUUAUCUCUCUUGUCUUCAGAAACUCACAUAAACCACAUUGCUUGGGUCUCUUCUUUCUACCAUAGACACUGAGAAACCAAUUGCCAUGGACCUGUUAAGACUGAACCUGUAAAUCUAUCACACAAAGGGACCUCAGAACCUCAGCUACCAGGCAAAAAAAGUGCUUUUGCUCCCAGCCUUUAUGACUCUCUGGUGGCAGUUCCUGCACAGCAUCCUUAACUCUCGUAAUAGGCAAUUUCAUCCUGGGUAUUUAAUCAUCAGUUAUCUCUAAGGCACAAGUUAUUAGGGCUUUUGCCAUAAUAGCAUACACCUGAUGUUCUACUUAUUUCAGCAGUUGCUGGAUAAGACAGGUGUUCAUCACAAAAUGGUCUGCACAGAAUGCACAGGUAUAACUGUUUUGUUUAGUGGUAUGAUGUUUUUCUUCUUUAUUUUUCUGUGUUACAUUCAAGUGUUAUACUGGUACAGCUUCACACCGCACACCUGUUUCACUGAUAGUGAAGUGUCUUGUGUUGGUGUAGCUUAUUCUCUUUCCCACAGAAGUUAACAUUACUUUGUGCAUAUAAACAGUUUUAUAUUGACAUAAGUAUAUCCAUAAGAGGAAAGCUCUAUGAAUUAACUACAUCACUUCCAGCUGUGGGCAAGACCUAGGUCUGAAUAAAAAUAAAUACAAUAUUAUUUUCA